rnacentral:rRNA from 1 species
GACGAACGCUGGCGGCGUGCUUAACACAUGCAAGUCGAACGGACAGGCGCUGCUUUUGCGGGGUGCUCGAUUGGCGAACGGGUGUGUAACACGUGAGUAUCAUCCCCCUGUAUUUGUGAUAUCUCCUCGAGACUGGGGCGAUUAUCCGAUAUGAGCUCCUGAUGCAUGUUGUUCGAUGGAAAAUUUCGGCUGUUGGGGAUGGUCUGGCGGGUUAUCCGCCUGUUUGUGGAGUAGUGGCUUACCAGGCCUUUGACGGGUAGCCGGCCUGAGAGGGUGACCGGCCACAUUGGGACUGAGAGACGGACCAGACUCCUACGGGAGGCAGUAGUGGGGAAUAUUGCACAAUGGGCGGAAGCCUGAUGCAGCAACGCCGCGUGCGGGAUGACGGCCUUCGGGUUGUAAACCGCUUUCGCCUGUGACGAAGCGUGAGUGACGGUAAUGGGUAAAGAAGCACCGGCUAACUACGUG